AUAUACCGUCGUUUGGUUCUCACAUUUGAGUUUAUGGUUGUGACGAUGUUACUAAAAGCAUGGCUCCUCUUGUUCGUGAUGAUCUUGGCUGUCAGUAUGGGUGACGGCAGGCGGCACUACCACAGGCGGCAGGGACGGCGCCCUGUCUUCCUCGUCCACGGCAACGGCAAAAUGCCGCGCGUCAAGAUGCCCCGGAUUAUGAUGUGAUAGAACAUGUAGCAUGUCAGCGACAAGAUCUUCAAUAAAUAAACUUUGUGCCUA